rnacentral:rRNA from 1 species
GCAGUAGCCGCGGGAAUACCAGCAGCCCAAGUGGUGGUCGCGAUUAUUGGGCCUAAAGCGCUCGUAGCCGGGCCGGUAAGUCCCUUGUGAAAUCGGACGGCCUAACCGUUCGGCGUGCAAGGGAUACUGUCGGUCUUGAGGCCGGGAGACGUCCGAGGUACUCCGGGGGUAGCGGUGAAAUGUUCUGAUCCUCGGGGGACCACCGGUGGCGAAGGCGUUCGACGAGAACGGGCCUGACGGUGAGGGGCGAAGGCUAGGGGAGCAAACGGGAUUAGAUACCCGCGUAGUCCCUGUCUCUUAUA